GUUAAGCGACUAAGCGUACACGGUGGAUGCCCUGGCAGUCAGAGGCGAUGAAGGACGUGCUAAUCUGCGAUAAGCGUCGGUAAGGUGAUAUGAACCGUUAUAACCGGCGAUUUCCGAAUGGGGAAACCCAGUGUGAUUCGUCACACUAUCAUUAACUGAAUCCAUAGGUUAAUGAGGCGAACCGGGGGAACUGAAACAUCUAAGUACCCCGAGGAAAAGAAAUCAACCGAGAUUCCCCCAGUAGCGGCGAGCGAACGGGGAGGAGCCCAGAGCCUGAAUCAGUGUGUGUGUUAGUGGAAGCGUCUGGAAAGGCGCGCGAUACAGGGUGACAGCCCCGUACACAAAAAUGCACAUACUGUGAGCUCGAUGAGUAGGGCGGGACACGUGGUAUCCUGUCUGAAUAUGGGGGGACCAUCCUCCAAGGCUAAAUACUCCUGACUGACCGAUAGUGAACCAGUACCGUGAGGGAAAGGCGAAAAGAACCCCGGCGAGGGGAGUGAAAAAGAACCUGAAACCGUGUACGUACAAGCAGUGGGAGCCUCUUUAUGGGGUGACUGCGUACCUUUUGUAUAAUGGGUCAGCGACUUAUAUUCUGUAGCAAGGUUAACCGAAUAGGGGAGCCGAAGGGAAACCGAGUCUUAACUGGGCGUUAAGUUGCAGGGUAUAGACCCGAAACCCGGUGAUCUAGCCAUGGGCAGGUUGAAGGUUGGGUAACACUAACUGGAGGACCGAACCGACUAAUGUUGAAAAAUUAGCGGAUGACUUGUGGCUGGGGGUGAAAGGCCAAUCAAACCGGGAGAUAGCUGGUUCUCCCCGAAAGCUAUUUAGGUAGCGCCUCGUGAAUUCAUCUCCGGGGGUAGAGCACUGUUUCGGCAAGGGGGUCAUCCCGACUUACCAACCCGAUGCAAACUGCGAAUACCGGAGAAUGUUAUCACGGGAGACACACGGCGGGUGCUAACGUCCGUCGUGAAGAGGGAAACAACCCAGACCGCCAGCUAAGGUCCCAAAGUCAUGGUUAAGUGGGAAACGAUGUGGGAAGGCCCAGACAGCCAGGAUGUUGGCUUAGAAGCAGCCAUCAUUUAAAGAAAGCGUAAUAGCUCACUGGUCGAGUCGGCCUGCGCGGAAGAUGUAACGGGGCUAAACCAUGCACCGAAGCUGCGGCAGCGACACUAAGUGUUGUUGGGUAGGGGAGCGUUCUGUAAGCCUGUGAAGGUGUGCUGUGAGGCAUGCUGGAGGUAUCAGAAGUGCGAAUGCUGACAUAAGUAACGAUAAAGCGGGUGAAAAGCCCGCUCGCCGGAAGACCAAGGGUUCCUGUCCAACGUUAAUCGGGGCAGGGUGAGUCGACCCCUAAGGCGAGGCCGAAAGGCGUAGUCGAUGGGAAACAGGUUAAUAUUCCUGUACUUGGUGUUACUGCGAAGGGGGGACGGAGAAGGCUAUGUUGGCCGGGCGACGGUUGUCCCGGUUUAAGCGUGUAGGCUGGUUUUCCAGGCAAAUCCGGAAAAUCAAGGCUGAGGCGUGAUGACGAGGCACUACGGUGCUGAAGCGACAAAUGCCCUGCUUCCAGGAAAAGCCUCUAAGCAUCAGGUAACAUCAAAUCGUACCCCAAACCGACACAGGUGGUCAGGUAGAGAAUACCAAGGCGCUUGAGAGAACUCGGGUGAAGGAACUAGGCAAAAUGGUGCCGUAACUUCGGGAGAAGGCACGCUGAUAUGUAGGUGAAGCGACUUGCUCGUGGAGCUGAAAUCAGUCGAAGAUACCAGCUGGCUGCAACUGUUUAUUAAAAACACAGCACUGUGCAAACACGAAAGUGGACGUAUACGGUGUGACGCCUGCCCGGUGCCGGAAGGUUAAUUGAUGGGGUUAGCGGUAACGCGAAGCUCUUGAUCGAAGCCCCGGUAAACGGCGGCCGUAACUAUAACGGUCCUAAGGUAGCGAAAUUCCUUGUCGGGUAAGUUCCGACCUGCACGAAUGGCGUAAUGAUGGCCAGGCUGUCUCCACCCGAGACUCAGUGAAAUUGAACUCGCUGUGAAGAUGCAGUGUACCCGCGGCAAGACGGAAAGACCCCGUGAACCUUUACUAUAGCUUGACACUGAACAUUGAGCCUUGAUGUGUAGGAUAGGUGGGAGGCUUUGAAGUGUGGACGCCAGUCUGCAUGGAGCCGACCUUGAAAUACCACCCUUUAAUGUUUGAUGUUCUAACGUUGGCCCCUUAUCGGGGUUGCGGACAGUGUCUGGUGGGUAGUUUGACUGGGGCGGUCUCCUCCUAAAGAGUAACGGAGGAGCACGAAGGUUGGCUAAUCCUGGUCGGACAUCAGGAGGUUAGUGCAAUGGCAUAAGCCAGCUUGACUGCGAGCGUGACGGCGCGAGCAGGUGCGAAAGCAGGUCAUAGUGAUCCGGUGGUUCUGAAUGGAAGGGCCAUCGCUCAACGGAUAAAAGGUACUCCGGGGAUAACAGGCUGAUACCGCCCAAGAGUUCAUAUCGACGGCGGUGUUUGGCACCUCGAUGUCGGCUCAUCACAUCCUGGGGCUGAAGUAGGUCCCAAGGGUAUGGCUGUUCGCCAUUUAAAGUGGUACGCGAGCUGGGUUUAGAACGUCGUGAGACAGUUCGGUCCCUAUCUGCCGUGGGCGCUGGAGAACUGAGGGGGGCUGCUCCUAGUACGAGAGGACCGGAGUGGACGCAUCACUGGUGUUCGGGUUGUCAUGCCAAUGGCACUGCCCGGUAGCUAAAUGCGGAAGAGAUAAGUGCUGAAAGCAUCUAAGCACGAAACUUGCCCCGAGAUGAGUUCUCCCUGACCCUUUAAGGGUCCUGAAGGAACGUUGAAGACGACGACGUUGAUAGGCCGGGUGUGUAAGCGCAGCGAUGCGUUGAGCUAACCGGUACUAAUGAACCGUGAGGCUUAACC
rnacentral:rRNA from 1 species